rnacentral:lncRNA from 1 species
GGAUCCUGGGAGCCUGCCAAGCAGAGCGCACAGUGUUCCUGGAGUCUCGCUGCCCAGAUGCCACGGAAUCAGUUGAAGCCAGGUCUCCAGCUGGGGUGGACGUGCCCACCAGCUGCCGAAGGCCAAGACGCCAGGUCCGGUGGACGUGACAAGCAGGACAUGACAUGGUCCGGUGUGACGGCGAGGACAGAGGAGGCGCGUCCGGCCUUCCUGGUGAGCAACACCUUAGGCUGGUGGGGCUGCGGCAAGAAGCGGGUCUGUUUCUUUACUUCCUCCACGGAGUCGGCACACUAUGGCUGCCCUCUGGGCUCCCAGAACCCACAACAUGAAAGAAAUGGUGCUACCCAGCUCAAGCCUGGGCCUUUGAAUCCGGACACAAAACCCUCUAGCUUGGAAAUGAAUAUGCUGCACUUUACAACCACUGCACUACCUGACUCAGGAAUCGGCUCUGGAAGGUGAAGCUAGAGGAACCAGACCUCAUCAGCCCAACAUCAAAGACACCAUCGGAACAGCAGCGCCCGCAGCACCCACCCCGCACCGGCGACUCCAUCUUCAUGGCCACCCCCUGCGGCGGACGGUUGACCACCAGCCACCACAUCAUCCCAGAGCUGAGCUCCUCCAGCGGGAUGACGCCGUCCCCACCACCUCCCUCUUCUUCUUUUUCAUCCUUCUGUCUCUUUGUUUCUGAGCUUUCCUGUCUUUCCUUUUUUCUGAGAGAUUCAAAGCCUCCACGACUCUGUUUCCCCCGUCCCUUCUGAAUUUAAUUUGCACUAAGUCAUUUGCACUGGUUGGAGUUGUGGAGACGGCCUUGAGUCUCAGUACGAGUGUGCGUGAGUGUGAGCCACCUUGGCAAGUGCCUGUGCAGGGCCCGGCCGCCCUCCAUCUGGGCCGGGUGACUGGGCGCCGGCUGUGUGCCCGAGGCCUCACCCUGCCCUCGCCUAGUCUGGAAGCUCCGACCGACAUCACGGAGCAGCCUUCAAGCAUUCCAUUACGCCCCAUCUCGCUCUGUGCCCCUCCCCACCAGGGCUUCAGCAGGAGCCCUGGACUCAUCAUCAAUAAACACUGUUACAGCAA